UUAUUGAAAUACCGUAUUUUAGUAAUAUUAAUAUUAUCGAUUGAAGGAAAGAGACAAAAUUGAAAAAUGGAUUUCACCCAAGAGAUUAAUCGCAAUUCAACGCUGAGUUCCAACAACAGUUCAGCAGUUUCUUUGGAUUCGCGACAAUUCGAUGGCGACGUUAUUCCUGAGAUGCAAGAAAAAUUAAAAAUACUCAACGACGUGAUUGUUGAGAGUGUAGCUGAAAAUAUCGCACUCGAAAAUGAAAUCUCAUCAUUUUUAAAAGAAAUUGGCAUUGAAUUGAAAUCAUUACCAAACGAUAUUAAAGAUGGUCUCAAUAAAGUUUGUGAUAUUUUGAAAAUCGAAGGACUAACUGACAUGGAUCUCUCAACAUUAGAAAUACACAUGCAACAAAAGGAAUUGGAAACGAAAAAGAAAGCACGCGACGAAGCUGAAUUUAAAAUGAAUUACGAUAUUGCUUUCAAAAAAUAUAAGAGAAUGCAAGAAAAAUUGGAUUCAAUGAAGAAUUCAAUAAAUUCGUUGGAGAGAAAAAUUAUUCAAUUGAAUGACGAGAAGAACGAGGAAUCCGAACGAUUACUAAUUCUUUCGAAAUUAGAGACAUAUCGAAAUAAAGUUGCUAAAAUGAAUGAGCAAUUGAAGGAUUUGAAUAUUAAUGAUUUACAUCCUGAUGUAAUUAUAAAAACAUCGGAUAUUUGCAUGGAGAAAUUGAUCGAAUUAACGGAAUUAAAUAAACAAUUGAAUAAAUACGCAGAAUUGCCGCCAAAUUUAUUACAAGCGAAAGCAGCAUUGGAAAGUAAGAAGAAGGAAUUGGAGAAAAUCGAGAAAAUGGUUGUGGAGAGACUUACGUGAUACCGAAUCAAUAGUUGUACAGUUUUCUAUUUUUAUACCCAAAGAAGAUAAUAAACAAAAGACAUUAAUUCUGUAGAAUUUAAUAUCUGAUUCAUCUGUAGCAAAUUAUAAUCCACCCUUGAAGUUAAUACAUGGACUUGAAGUUAGAGGAGAAUGAGGAGAGAGAAAGAGAGAGAGAUAUAAAGUGAGAGAGAGAGAAAUAUGAUCGAAGACAGUCGUAGGAAUAUGACAAAGAGAAUAAAGAAUAAGAAAGAAAUGUAAUUGAGCGAUUUAAGACGAGGCGACGGAGAAAACUCAAGAGCUCCAAAGAUAAAGUAUAAUUAUUUUUCGAUAUAGAAAGUGGAAAUUAUUCGCGAAUGAGCCAGGGGAGUUAUAGGCGAUAUUCAUACUUUAUUAAAUGACUGUGGCCACCUCUCUCUGAUUUUUCUGCAAAUCCCUGUCUCCCCCUUCUCAGACCAUUUCUUUUCUCUUCUUCUUCUUCUUUUUUUUUUUUUUUUAUUUCAUCCGUAGACAGUUUUAUUGUGAAAUAUAUAAAAUCGCCACUUGGAUAAAAUUGAACUCUUUAGCUUGAACGGUAUAACUAAACGCCGAGUAAAAAAGUUUCUAAAUGAAAAAAAUUGUGUACACCAUCUGCAUUUAAUUUGAGAAAAAAAAAUUUAUCAUUCCUCAUUUUUUUUUUUAGAAAAUAACUUUUGUGUACACAAACUUUUUAAAUGACUAAUACAAUAAUCAUAAUAGAAAUUAUAAUAUAAAAUUAUAAAAUAUAGGAAAAAUAUUAAAUAUUAGAAA